GCUUAGAAAAUCCGUUGGCUUUAUUGACCGUGAGGGUUCAAGUCCCUCUACCCCC
rnacentral:tRNA from 1 species